GAUGAACGCUGGCGGCGUGCUUAACACAUGCAAGUCGAACGAAGCACUUAUCUUUGAUUCUUCGGAUGAAGAGGUUUGUGACUGAGUGGCGGACGGGUGAGUAACGCGUGGGUAACCUGCCUCAUACAGGGGGAUAACAGUUAGAAAUGACUGCUAAUACCGCAUAAGACCACGGAGCCGCAUGGCUCAGUGGGAAAAACUCCGGUGGUAUGAGAUGGACCCGCGUCUGAUUAGGUAGUUGGUGGGGUAACGGCCUACCAAGCCAACGAUCAGUAGCCGAGCUGGGAGGGGGACCGGCCACAUUUGGACUGAGACACGGCCCAAACUCCGACGGGAGGCAGCAGUGGGGAAUAUUGCACAAUGGGGGAAACCCUGAUGCAGCGACGCCGCGUGAGCGAAGAAGUAUUUCGGUAUGUAAAGCUCUAUCAGCAGGGAAGAAAAUGACGGUACCUGACGAAGAAGCACCGGCUAAAUACGUG
rnacentral:rRNA from 1 species